AGCUGCCUGAACGGUUUGAGCAUCUUCUGCAGAGAAUCGCUCGGAGACCCAAGCCUCAGCAGUUCUUCGGAUUAAUGGGCAAGAGGGAUGCUGAUACUGCACUUGAAAACCAAGUGGCCCUGUUAAAAGCGCUUUAUGGACGUGGCCAAGUUUCUCAUAAAACAGCUUUCGAGAGGAGCGCAAUGCAGAAUUAUGAACGAAGACGUAAAUAACCCCCUAGCAUAUUAUGCAUUGGGCUUGAUUUGUGCCAAUGGCCAGUGAAAGGUAAAAUGAGAAAAUUAAAUAUUUAUUUAAUAAUAACUAUUAUUUGAGUUGAAAACUCAGAAAGUGUUUAUUUUUCAUAUUGUGCCAACACGUGUUGUACAGAUGUGUCCUGGUUCUAAUGUGAGCUAGAAAUCAGUGGUAAUUUCCCCACGAAGCACAGUAAACAAUACAGUUCUGAAGCCUGUCAAGGACAUAGUCGCCCACGAAAGAAACCAUCAGGGUUUGUCGGGCUUUCUUUGGAAGCAGUCAAGUCAGCUACUGAUGAAAGGGAAGGAAACUUCCAGAUAGUCCUGUGCACCCCGUCUUUGUUACACGCUGACCAUGUAAUAUGAUUUUCGUAUCAAACUACAUUUGUAUCCCUGAAGCAUGUUCCAUGUUUUAUGACCAUAUACAGAUGUUUUAAAAAGUUACAAUGUGGUACUAAAGCUUUAUUUCAUUGUAUGGUGUGUUGUGAUCGUUUUAAAUAAAAGAAAAAAUAUCUUGAA